rnacentral:lncRNA from 1 species
CUUUGAAGUGUUGAUAAAAUUGAUAUGUGAUAGGCCAUGUGUCCUAUAUUUUGGUUUUAUUCAUGAUUAUCUUAAGUUGAAGCCAAAAUACUUUGAAGAUGAUAUCAUCAUGUCAUUCGUAUAUUCUGUAGAUUACUAUAUGAAUCUAAGAGCUAGAUAGUUUAACCUCUAAUUUCUUGUUAUAUUUACCGAAUAUUUUCUCUUGGGGAUAAAAUAUUUGUGUUUGAAAUCAGAUGCAUGAUGUACCUUACUCGUUGAAUCUUAGAACUUGAUGUUUUAAAUGUUAGGUUGAGUUUUAUCAUUGAUGGUCAUUAGCUGCCCACAGUUUCAUUCCCUUUGACAUUUUUCAAACUAAAUCACUUACGAGGCUUUUCGUUGAAUGAGCUGUCAAAUUUUGACUUGACUUUAAAUAAUCAAUAGUUACCAUCUGUUAUUAAUUGUCUAAUCGAGCUGUAUCUAACUCAAUAUGUCUAGAUUCACUAUUAUAGAUAUGAAUACAAGCAUUAGACAAAGAUGGUUCAUAUCACACUGGAUGGAAACUUGUGGCAUCGAUUUAAGCAAAAUAGGAAUCUCCCUUGAUGAAUUCCUAAGCCAUUUCGCGCGCUUCCUUACUGCAUGAAGCAAAUUCUAUGAACUCAACUGCCGUGGCGGAUUUCACAAGUUGUGAAAGAAUUCCAAUCAAUCCCAUGCUUUCAGCAGUAUAUUCAUUUUCAAUCUCAUGACCUUAGCAACAGAUUAAUAUUUCUCAUUUCUGUACACUGUUAGCAUAGUUCAUUGUGUCAUUUCUGUGUAUUGAUUUAUUUCCUUUCUCCUUCUUUAAGUUGUAUAAAUAUUUUAUUUUUGUAAUAAAAAGAUGGGUAAAUAUAUUCACACCACAAUUUUUGUUACCUACACCCAUUUUAAUUGCAAUGAAUAUCUCU